GACGAACGCUGGCGGCGUGCCUAAUACAUGCAAGUCGAGCGAAGUUUUUCUGGUGCUUGCACUAGAAAAACUUAGCGGCGAACGGGUGAGUAACACGUAAAGAACCUGCCUCAUAGACUGGGACAACUAUUGGAAACGAUAGCUAAUACCGGAUAACAGUAUUUCUCGCAUGAGAGAUAUUUAAAAGUUGGUUAUGCUAACACUAUGAGAUGGCUUUGCGGUGCAUUAGCUAGUUGGUGGGGUAAAGGCCCACCAAGGCGACGAUGCAUAGCCGACCUGAGAGGGUGAUCGGCCACACUGGGACUGAGACACGGCCCAGACUCCUACGGGAGGCAGCAGUAGGGAAUCUUCCGCAAUGGGCGAAAGCCUGACGGAGCAACGCCGCGUGAGUGAAGAAGGAUUUCGGUUCGUAAAGCUCUGUUGUUAGGGAAGAAUGGAUAUGUAGUAACUAUACAUGUAAGAGACGGUACCUAACCAGAAAGCCACGGCUAACUACGUGCCAGCAGCCGCGGUAAUACGUAGGUGGCAAGCGUUGUCCGGAAUUAUUGGGCGUAAAGCGCGCGCAGGUGGUUUAAUAAGUCUGAUGUGAAAGCCCACGGCUCAACCGUGGAGGGUCAUUGGAAACUGUUAAACUUGAGUGCAGGAGAGAAAAGUGGAAUUCCUAGUGUAGCGGUGAAAUGCGUAGAGAUUAGGAGGAACACCAGUGG
rnacentral:rRNA from 1 species